CGAAAGCCUGACGGAGCAAUACCGCGUGAGGGAGGAAGGCUCUUGGGUCGUAAACCUCUUUUCUCAGGGAAGAAAAAAUGACGGUACCUGAGGAAUCAGCAUCGGCUAACUCCGUGCCAGCAGCCGCGGUAAUACGGAGGAUGCAAGCGUUAUCCGGAAUGAUUGGGCGUAAAGCGUCCGCAGGUGGCAGUACAAGUCUGCUGUCAAAGGUCAAGGCUCAACCUUGGACAGGCAGUGGAAACUGUACAGCUAGAGUGUGGUGGGGGCAGAGGGAAUUCCCAGUGUAGCGGUGAAAUGCGUAGAGAUUGGGAAGAACACCAGUGGCGAAAGCGCUCUGCUAGGCCAUAACUGACACUCAGGGACGAAAGCU
rnacentral:rRNA from 1 species